ACUGCAAGCCGCCUAAAUGCAGGGCUUUUAAUGAUAUUCCCCGCCAACAAGGCAUGAGGGUGGGGCUUGCCUCCAUCUGGCCCUCCUGCCACCUUCAACAACACACCCCACAUCCGAUCCUGCUUAGAGUCAAAGAUGAAUCUGGCAUACUACAAAGAGCACUGGACUGGAAGCGCGAAGUUUCUCUUAUCUGUGCCUUGGUUUCCUCAUGUGGAAAAUGAAAAUGUUGACAUAAAUAAUCCCACAGGUCUCUGUUAGUACCAUUUUGUGAUUUUAUAUCGUGCUUACCACACCUAGAAACAGGGGCCAUCAUUCCAGCCAGCUAACAGAGAAAAAGAAGAUACAUAAUCGGGCUUAGGAAAAUAAAUCUUGGAGACCAAGUAAACAAAGACAACAAUCUAGUAUAAGUGUUAUAACUGGGGGAUGAGGGGUUGCAAAUGGAGAUCCGCCACAGUCAACUCUUCUUGAAUUCCCCUGUUCUCAACAGGCAACAGCAAUCAUAAUGGGCUUGGAGCACCAGUCCCACAACAUCACAAGACAUCCAGACAUAAUUGCAUUAAUAAUGUUGUGCAUAAUCGCACAACUAUCCGGUUAUUCGGCACCAUCCAAUAUGUGAAUAAAGCUCUUAGGAAAAAUUAA
rnacentral:lncRNA from 1 species